rnacentral:rRNA from 1 species
GACGAACGCUGGCGGCGUGCUUAACACAUGCAAGUCGAACGGAAAGGCCCUGCUUUUGUGGGGUGUUCGCGUGGCGAACGGGUGAGUAACAUGUGAGUAACCUGCCCUUGACUUUGGGAUAACUUCAGGAAACUGCGGCUACUACCGGAUAGGAGCUCCUGCUGCAUGGUGGGGUUUGGACAGUUUGGGCGGUUGGGGAUGGACUUGCGGCUUAUCAGCUUGUUGGUGGGGUAGUGGCUUACGCGGGGUUUGGUGGGUAGUCGGCCUGAGAGGUUGACCGGCCACAUGGGGACUGAGAUACGGCGCAGACGCCUACGGGAGGCAGCAGUGGGGAAUAUUGCACAAUGGGCCGGAGCCUGAUGCAGCGACGCCGCGUGCGGGAUGACGGCCUUCGGGUUAUAAACCGCUUUCGCCUGUGACGAAGCGUGAGUGACGGUAAUGGGUAAAGAAGCACCGGCUAACUACGUG